AGAAGAAGAAGAAGAAGAAGAAGAAGAAGAAGAAGAAGAAGCAGCGAAGAGAGUUCUUUACAGUUAUUUUGCAGCACACUCUUAAACAGAAAGCAAGUUUGGAAAGAAAGUCAGACAAAAAGAAGAAUAUGUAGAUUGUGGCUCAAAGGCUGGAAAAUAACAAGCUUUCAUAAUGGCAACAGUUGCAGGAAUACUCUCGAGUCAUUAGAAGCAGGAAGUUAAUAAACAAGGGCAAUCAUAACAAUAAUGGAAUGGUGGGUGUUUUUCCCUCCCAAAAUGUGUCAUAUGGAAAAAAUUUAGGUUUUAAAAACAAUGUAACAAUUGACAAUGGUCGCCAAAAAGGACAUGUCAAAAUACUUGGGGAAAAUUGCUUGUCUAUGAUCCCUAAGAAAUCUAGCAAAGGAAUUCUUCUCUGCGAUGGGUUAUUUUUUUUGUUUGUGUGUGCUGAUUUGUUGAUUUUGUUUCAAAAUGAAAACAUUUCUAUUGUGCAAAAGGUG